UCCUCUAGAGAGGGAGCUGCCUGCCUCCACAAAAGACUUCUUUGAUGAUGACCCUGUGCCUUGGUAGCAUCUAUGAGGACUUGAAGAUGUACCAGUCAGAGUUCCAGGCCAUAAAUGCAGCACUUCAGAGCCACAAUCAUCAGCAGAUCACUCUGGACAGAAACAUGCUGAUGGCUAUUGAUGAGCUAAUGCAGUCUCUGAAUCACAGCGGCGAGACUCUGCACCAGAAAGCUCCCAUGGGAGAAGCAGAUCCUUACAGAGUGAAGAUGAAGCUCUGUAUCCUGCUCCAUGCCUUCAGCACCCGCGUCAUGACUAUCAACAGGGUGAUGAACUAUCUGAGCUCCUCCUAAGGAGGAGGGCUAGGAGUCAGGUAGUCCUGGCCUGGUUGACCUUCAGCUCCUGUAGGAAUCUGUAACCCCAAAGGUGGCACGGCUGCCUCAGCGUGGGCCCCUCCAUUGUGUCUCUCAUACUUGCAAGUUGUUUGUAAGUUUUCAUCAAAAUAUCAUUAAGGGGAGAGUAUGUCCUCCCUCAGUGUGUCAGCAGAAGAGCAAGAACUGAUAAGCUAUUAUUUUUGUACCAAAGUGUUUAUGAAAACACUCAGUCACCCCUUAUUUAAAAAUAUUUAUUGUUAUAUUUUAUACUUAUGAUAAGCAUAUGAGCUAUUUAUAUUUAUUUAUUUUCUAUUUAUUAUAAUAUUUCUUAUCAGAUGAAUUUGAAACAUACCUUAUUUUGUGGUUCUAAUAAAGUAAUGCAAGCACUUC
rnacentral:lncRNA from 1 species